UGGGGAAUAUUGGGCAAUGGGCGCAAGCCUGACCCAGCAACGCCGCGUGAAGGAAGAAGGCCCUCGGGUUGUAAACUUCUUUUGUCAGGGACGAAGAAAGUGACGGUACCUGACGAAUAAGCCACGGCUAACUACGUGCCAGCAGCCGCGGUAAUACGUAGGUGGCAAGCGUUAUCCGGAUUUACUGGGUGUAAAGGGCGUGUAGGCGGGACUGCAAGUCAGAUGUGAAAUUCCAGGGCUCAACCCUGGAACUGCAUUUGAAACUGUAGUUCUUGAGUGAUGGAGAGGCAGGCGGAAUUCCGU
rnacentral:rRNA from 1 species